UACGAAGGGUGCAAGCGUUAAUCGGAAUUACUGGGCGUAAAGGGUGCGUAGGCGGUUCGUUAAGUCUGUCGUGAAAUCCCCGGGCUCAACCUGGGAAUGGCGAUGGAUACUGGCGAGCUAGAGUGUGUCAGAGGAUGGUGGAAUUCCCGGUGUAGCGGUGAAAUGCGUAGAGAUCGAGAGGAACAUCAGUGGCGAAGGCGGCCAUCUGGGACAACACUGACGCUGAAGCACGAAAGCGUGGGGAGCAAACAGG
rnacentral:rRNA from 1 species